rnacentral:lncRNA from 1 species
AAAAAAAAAAAAAAAAAGAUAGCACCACCGAAUCAGCCUCUGAAGAAGUCACCAUCGCAGAUCUGAAUCAUGGAUGAGGUAAGUACAUCUAUUCUCUAUUCUCAACUCACAUCUGUUAUAAAAGAUCUUGCCAUAGACAUAGUGCAACAGAUUCAAGCGCCCAGCCACCAAAGCCCUGUAUGAUCUGUGGAUAUGUGGGACACCUAACUUCCCGAUGUUCUACACUUUAUGAGGAUGACCAACCAAUGCA